GUUAUUUGUUUUUUAUUUUUUAAUUGUCAAGAUUGGACAAUUAUCUAGUAUAUAUUACAUGGAAAAGGAAAUCCAUUAACUCUUAAAUUUAAAGAAUAUUUCCAUUCUGCGUAUGUCAUGAUGGUUAAAAAAAAAUAGACCAACAAAGUUUCAUGCCUAAUAAAGAUAGUCUUUCAGAACCGGAUCUUUUCGUCACUAAAAAUCUCCUGUCAAGAAACCUCAGAAUAUUCAAUAUGAGAUGUACAUAUGUCCUUAAGAGAUGAACACUGACACUGAGGCCAAUCAGGUCAAUCAAGUCAAGACAGCCAAUCUUAUUGGCUAACCAUGUCAGGUAGGUGGUCUGACAUUAUUUUCUACUAAUCUCAUGUUUCCACUGACUUCUUUGUGUACACACAGGUGUUCGUGCUCUGCCUCCGUGAAUUUAUACUGACAACAUGCAAUUCAGGUGUUGCUUGCUUCUUUAAUCUUGUAAAUAUGGAAAACUACUCACAGUACUUAUGAUACUAUGAUUUUGUAAUUCCAUUUCACUGAGUAGUGUCUUUUUUCUCCCUUUCUUUUCUUUCCCUUUUGGUACUGGAGAUUGAUCCCAGGUGUGAUUUACCACUGGACUACAUUCUCAGUCCAUUUUAAUUUUUAUUUUUCAGACAGGGUCUCACUAAGAUGUGAAGGUUAGCUUUCAACUUGUGAUCCUUCGGUCUUGGUCUCCCAAGUGGCUGGGAUUACAGGUGUGAGCCGAUGUACCUGGCAUUUCAUUUUAUUUCACUGGUUCAGUGGUUUGUUUUCCAAUUACCUCCCUUUUCCUCAUCAAUAUUUGCCUUCAGUAUAUAAUCUUUCCUUCAAUUUGUCCUAUUUCAUCUAAUGCAGUUACAUUGAACAAAGUAGGAUCAUGAUGAGAACAAAAAUUCCAAGAGGUGCGUGGUGCACAACUAUAAUAACAGCUACUCAGGAGACUGAAGCAGGAGGAUCAGAAGUUUGAGGCCAGCCUCAGCAAUUUAAAGAGACCCUGACUCAGAAAAUGAAAAAGGUUGGUGAUGUAGCUCAGUGGUAGAGUGCUCCUGAGUUUAAUCCCUAGUACCUAAAAAGUAAAGAAAAUAAUAGAGAAAACACAAGAAUUUCUCUUGGGGAAUCACAGAAACCCCAAGUUCCACAUGUUAAAAACUAAAUUCAUCAACCAGAAUCCAGCCUGUAUUCCCCAUUUAAGGACACCCAAUGCCAAGACCAAAAACCCAGAAGGCUUCCUACUUCCCUUCUUUUGGUCUCUGUCCUUCCUGCUGUGAAGUCUUAUCUGCUGGGCCCUAUAAAGACCAGUUGGAUUGGGGCAGUUUUCUCUGUCCUCACUUCUGCUACCUCUGUUUGGUCCCAAUGAAAUUUUAAAUUCUCUUACUGAAGAACUGUUCACUCUUCAUUGUUCUCCUUGCAUACAGUCUUGCUCACCUUCACACCCUUCUCCACUUCCAGUCCGAACAAUCUGUUUUAUAUUCAGAUCCAGCAAAAAUCAGUUUUUGCUUGAAAGCCUUAUAUAAUGCCUCAAAUCCCUGACAUGCUAUUUGUGGCCUUUCAUUGUCUAGAUUCUGUUUAUGUUAUCAGCAUAAUAUCAUAACACCCCUUCUCUAACUCUUACUUCAGUGACACUGAAUGAUUCCUGAGCCUCUAACAUGACCUUUGUAUUUGGCCCUUAGGUUUUUGCAUAUUGUGACCCCUCUCAAUGGAACAUUCUUUCAUCACUCUCCUCUCCUGGCCAACUUGUAUAUCUAGGUUCCCUAUAGAUGACAAACCCUUCCUGAACAUCCUCUUAAUUAUCUUUCCAAAUAUAAUGUUGUAGUUACUUCUCAGAAUACCUAUAUCAUGCUGACAUGAUCUCUAUAUCUAUUUUACCUUGAACUGUGCAAUUCUCACAGAGAUUAUAUCUUAUUUGCUGCUUAUCCUCAGCACCUGUUACAGAUAGUGACAUUGCCUUGUAUCUGUUUGCUAAGUGGAUGAAUGACAAGUCCUUUGUCAUACAUUCCUUGAUUCUCUCAGCAUAAUUGCAGUAGAACAGAUGACUAUCUCAUGGGGUGAUAUAAGUAUCAUUUUUUUAAAUGAAUGGAUUAAUUAGAUAACAUCUUUAAACUGCUCUUAGGGCUUGGAGAGAAAUACAUUUACUGUCAUUGAACAUUUGGAAGUAAACACUAUGACAUCAGCUUUGUCUAACCCUUUUCAAGCUACCAGUCUUCAUCUAUCACUUUCAAGAAUUUCCACAUGACUAAAAAAAUCUCUUUUCUAUAUGCUUUAAUUCUCUAGUUGCUCAGUUGGAGGAAAAAAAAAUGUUUCUUGUAUUUUGGGCGGUAUAUAUGAUGAUCUUCAUAGUUAUUCUAAGGCAUAUUACAUUAGGAUAAACUUGUUUCAACUAUUUAAAUUUAAAUCCAAAAACUCAUUUGUUUUCUCUCAGAAAUCUAUUUGAAAUCUUUCAGCAAUCCAGUUAUUUAAACAAAAAACUUUCCAAAAGCAAUAUUGUCGUCUAAUGCCCUAAUUAACCUCUACAAACUGUAUUUGUAUUCCCUCUGCAGUGAUUUCAAAAUCUCUAUGGUCCCUGGAAUGCUUUUUAUAUCAAUGGGAGAGCUGGGUUCUACUGAAAGGUUUGGAUUUAUUGUCUAAGUUUUGCUUAUCCAAUUCUUCCAUGGUACUAUAUCCAUUGUUAAAAGCAAACAUUUUCUUUUCUAUAAUCUAUUCGUUGUUCUUUAAGAUUUGUUCUACUUGUUUUCUAAUAGCAAAUCAUUACUGUUUGAGGGAAUUUUGGUUGAAUUUCCCACAUUUAAAAAUUACUCUGAAAAUCAUAUUGUCAGACUAAAAUUUGGCAUAGAAAUCAGCACAAUAAGACUUUUAACAUCUAUGAGUCCUGCCUCCUUCAUUAGUUAGAUCAACUCUGACUGAACACAAGAAUAAUGGCAGGAAGAAGCUGGGCCUAGGCAAGCUCCCUUCCCAAACUCACACUCAACUUAAGUAGUUUUACUUUUAUUUGUUGCAUAUGUUGGACAGCUGAGUAAAGACUUCAUUUUGGAAAAAAAAUUAAUGGAAAACUUUGCUACAAAAUAUUUUAAGAUCUUUUACCUUAGAGCCUGGGUAAGGCUUAGAGAAGAUAGAAUACAAAGCUCCCUAAGGGCACCAAUCCUUUUGGUUAUAUCUCCAAUAUGGCCUAUUUGAUAUAUAGUUGGCUAGCUUAUCAACAUUGUGCAUCAUACUCAGAAUAUCUAGGACAAUUCCCAUAUAUUAUAAAUGGACCCAAGGCUCAUGCAUUGCAGUAAUUGUCCAGUGUGUGCCUUUGAAACCUCUUUCAUACUUAAGGCUGAGGAAGGCUGAUUUCUUUCAUUGAGCAUUCUGAAAGAGUGUGUGUGUGCAUGUGUGUGUGUGUGUGUGUGUGUGUGUGUGUGAGAGAGAGAGAGAGAGAGAGAGAGAGAGAGAGAGAACCUCAAAUAAGCCUGACUUGGAGAUUAUUCUGUUUAUCUGUACACUUUUAAUAUCCACUAAAAUUUUUAAAUAUCUCAAAUAUGCAAGUACAUGGCAGAAGCAAAUCAGACCUUUUGUAUUUCUGUUUCUUUCCAACAGUGCUCCUGCGGUUUUGUCACUUGAGGAGGACAUUGCUUCGAUUGCAUAUGACCAUCAUCUCUUCUCCAGUCUAGAAUUAGUGGUACUAUUACUUUUGGGAAAAUGGCCUUGCUGUACUGUAUGGAUUCUAGGGGAAAGGGUAUCAAUACAGCCCUCUGGAAACUCAUGGACACUGAGUCACAUGACCCUGUUAGCCAAACAAAACUGCUACUAUGGGAUUUGUACUUCAUUUAGAAAGAAAUAAGUUCUCUUCUCUUAGACUAGAGGGAUGAGGUGAGCCUGAAUAAUUGCAGACCGUUCUUCGUUACCUGUAGGCUUGCUCUGCUUUCAUCUGUGUGAUAGAAGGAUUGAUUUAUAUAUGCUCAUGCUAGUAUGCUUAGGUGGCAAGGAGUCUAUCUCCCUGGCAGGAUGCCUGUAGCAUGACUCUACCCAGGAAAAAAGAAGUUUCUUCAGAGAAUUUUUUUUCUGAGAUGUUUUCAGUUUUAGUUUUCCCAUUUCCAAGCACUGCCAUCUCUUCUUGCUGCAGGAAAAGUUUGGAAACUAAAAGUCAAGUUUUAUGACAGAUUGCUCAGCAAUCUGUCCUGUGGUUGGGAUAAAAACAAGCAUGUAUUUAGUAGUUUUUUUUACCUUUUAACUCUCUCUUGUUUGCAAUAUAUUGAAUAAAUACAUACAAAUUAUUCCAAUAUGCAAUCUACAAAUGUUCACUGUAAAAUAUAUGCUUUUCCUGUAACCUGUUUUCUUGUACUGAUGACAUGGGUCUAUCUUAUAAGCUUCUGCAUUAAAAAGAAUUAAACCAAUAAUCCAUUUAAGUCAUUAUAAUUAAGCUACCUCCCUAUUUCUUCUCCUGUGAAAAUAUGAGCAUAACUAUCCUUAAAGUGGAAUUCGUUUUCUUUUAUACUUCUAUAAGUUAGUUUCUAUCUUCUCAAAUAAUGUGUACUCGACAGACUCCUUUUCACGCCCCGAAAAGUAGAGUGGAAAAGAUAAUUUGAAAUUAAGGAUAGUAGAG
rnacentral:lncRNA from 1 species